rnacentral:rRNA from 1 species
GAUGAACGCUGGCGGCGUGCCUAAUACAUGCAAGUCGAGCGAACAGACGAGAGUGCUUGCCCUCUCUGACGUUAGCGGCGGACGGGUGAGUAACACGUGGGUAACCUACCUAUAAGACUGGGAUAACUUCGGGAAACCGGAGCUAAUACCGGAUAAUAUUUAGCUUCGCAUGAAGCAAUAGUGAAAGACGGUUCUGCUGUCACUUAUAGAUGGACCCGCGGUGUAUUAGCUAGUUGGUGAGGUAACGGCUCACCAAGGCAACGAUACGUAGCCGACCUGAGAGGGUGAUCGGCCACACUGGGACUGAGACACGGCCCAGACUCCUACGGGAGGCAGCAGUAGGGAAUCUUCCGCAAUGGACGAAAGUCUGACGGAGCAAUGCCGCGUGAGUGAAGAAGGUUUUCGGAUCGUAAAACUCUGUUGUAAGGGAAGAACAAGUACGUUAGUAACUGAACGUACCUUGACGGUACCUUACCAGAAAGCCACGGCUAACUACGUG